GAGGAAUCUUGCGCAAUGGGGGAAACCCUGACGCAGCCACGCCGCGUGGGUGAAGAAGGUCUUCGGAUCGUAAAGCCCUGUCAGGUGGGAAGAACCGCAGUCGGGUGAAUAAUCUGGCUGCCUGACGGUACCACCAAAGGAAGCACCGGCUAACUCCGUGCCAGCAGCCGCGGUAAUACGGAGGGUGCAAGCGUUGUUCGGAAUUACUGGGCGUAAAGCGCGUGUAGGCGGCCUGAUAAGUCAUAUGUGAAAGCCCUCGGCUUAACCGGGGAAGUGCAUCUGAUACUGUCAGGCUUGAGUCCUGGAGAGGGUUGUGGAAUGCCCGGUGUAGAGGUGAAAUUCGUAGAUAUCGGGAGGAACACCAGUGGCGAAGGCGACAACCUGGACAGAGACUGACGCUGAGACGCGAAAGCGUGGGGAGCAAACA
rnacentral:rRNA from 1 species